UACAGAGGCCUCAAGCGUUGUUCGGAUUCAUUGGGCGUAAAGGGUGCGUAGGUGGCUUGUUAAGUUGAAGGUGAAAUCUCGGAGCUCAACUCCGAAACUGCCUUCAAUACUGGCGAGCUCGAGGAUUGUAGAGGAGAAUGGAAUUCACGGUGUAGCAGUGAAAUGCGUAGAUAUCGUGAGGAAGACCAGUGGCGGAGGCGAUUCUCUGGGCAAUUCCUGACACUGAGGCACGAAGGCCAGGGGAGCAAACGGG
rnacentral:rRNA from 1 species